UGCGGAGGGAUCAUUACACAACAAAAAUAUGAGGGUGUGGUUUGCUGGCAACAGCGUCCGCCCCAAGUAUUUUUCACCCAUGUCUUUUGCGCACUUUUUGUUUCCUGGGCGAGUUCGCUUGCCACCAGGACCCAACCAUAAACCUUUUUUUUUAUGCAGUUGCAAUCAGCGUCAGUAUAAUAAUUCAAUUUAUUAAAACUUUCAACAACGGAUCUCUUGGUUCUGGCAUCGAUGAAGAACGCAGCGAAAUGCGAUACGUAGUGUGAAUUGCAGAAUUCAGUGAAUCAUCGAAUCUUUGAACGCACAUUGCGCCCUUUGGUAUUCCAAAGGGCAUGCCUGUUCGAGCGUCAUUUGUACCCUCAAGCUUUGCUUGGUGUUGGGCGUCUUUUUGUCUCUCCCCUUGUUGGGGGAGACUCGCCUUAAAACGAUUGGCAGCCGACCUACUGGUUUUCGGAGCGCAGCACAAAUUUGCGCCUUCCAAUCCACGGGGCGGCAUCCAGCAAGCCUUUGUUUUCUAUAACAAAUCCACAUUUUGACCUCGGAUCAGGUAGGGAUACCCGCUGAACUUAAGCAUAUC
rnacentral:rRNA from 1 species